UGUCAGGGACAAUCAUUGGCCUGAUUUUUUUUUUUAAUUAGUGGUUGAUAGUUUAAACUUACUUCAUUCUUAUAAAAAAUAUAAAUUAUGUGUAAUAAAAAUUUAGAAUCUGGGCAGACAAAAUUUCUGCACAAAUGGGGGUAGGGCCCCCAAGGUCCCACCCUUGCCAGAGGAGAUUCUGGUGGUCAUUGCUGAGGGAAGAAGACUCACUUUCCUGUAGGUACUCACUUUGCCAGUGGUAGCUUUCCCAGGCCCCAGGGAAGUCCCACACACGUGUGCAUAUGAGUAGUACUAACUGGAGGCGAGAGGCAGGGGGAUGAAAAGGACACUACGGUUGGGAGAGAGACAGGAUAAAGGACACUUGGAGUUAUAGAGUCUUAAUGGUAGAUGUUCAGGUCAUAAUACAAUACAUAAAGGUAUGGUGUUUUCAACGAAUACAUUUUAAUACAGUAACUUUAAAGAGCUUAGGGGUUGAGGAUGUGCUUGGCUUAGCACAUACAGGCCUAGGUUUGAUUCCCAGUACCACAUAAACUGUGUCCAGUGGUGCAUACCUUUAAUCCCAGUACUAGGAGCAGGAGGCUCAGAAGGUCAAGGCCAUUCUCAGUUAUAGAGCAAGAUAGAGUUCAUCCUGGGAUACCUAAAAACUUGUCUCAAAGGAGGAAAGAAAGCAAAGGAAGGGGAAAGAAAGAAGGAAAGAAGAGAAGUAACUACUGAUACUCUUGCUGUGUAAGAUUAUUAUGGUUAACUUUAGCUUUAGC
rnacentral:lncRNA from 1 species